rnacentral:rRNA from 1 species
AUGGAUUGCCCGAGCCCUGGUGGGACUGAUACGUCGACGGACCCAGACCUCGACAAGAAUCAAGCGUUCGAACAAGGGCAUGCUGCUGCUGGGCUCACACCUCCGGAUUCCAGUGACAAAUCAAUUGGUGAACUAGGUCCAAAGACGCUCCGUCGCCUCGCCCAAAACCGUGAAGCUGCUAGGAGAAGCCGUCUAAGAAAAAAGGCAUAUGUCCAACAUCUCGAGAGCAGCGGCCUGAGGCUCGCUCAGCUGGAGCAGGAGCUCCAGCGUGCUCGCCAACAGGGCUUUCUCGUUUCUACUUUGGGGGACCAGCCUGAUUCAGAGAAUGGAAAUGCAGCUUCUUCGUUCUACGUGGAAUACGCACGGUGGCUGGAGGAGCACCACAAGCAGGUAGACGAGCUCAGGGCCGCCGUCAGCGCCCACGCCGGCGACGGCGACCUCCAGUCCAUCGUUGACACCAUCAUGGCACGCUCCGACGAGAUCUUCAGGCUCAAGGGCGCCGCGGCCAAGGGCGCCGCGGCCAAGGCCGACGCCUUCCGCGUCAUUUCGGGGACGUGGAUGACCCCCGUCGAGCGGUGCUUCCUCUGGCUCGGCGGCUUCCGGCCGUCGGAGCUUCUCAAGCUACUCGCGAGCCGGCUGGAGCCCCUCACCGAGAAGCAGCUCGACAGCAUCGACGUCCUGCGACGUUCCUCCCUGCAAGCCGAAGAAGCACUCUGUCGAGAGAUGGAAGCGCUGCGACGGUCGGUCACGGAAGCCGUCGCGGCGGCAGGAUCGUCGUCCCUGAGCUGCUCCGACGCUGAUUGCACGGGCCAAAUGGCGGUGGCGGUGGGAAAGCUUGGCGUCAUGGAAGGCCUCCUGCGGCAGGCUGAUGAUCUGCGGCUGCGGAUUCUUGAGGAAACGCGGCGGGUACUGACCACCCGUCAGUGCGCACGGGCGGUGCUCGUGGUCACCGACUACUUCUCCCGGAUGCGCGCCCUGAGUUCUCUCUGGAUUGCACGUCCGACCACCGGGGUGAACUGA